UCCCUGGUGGUCCAAUGGUUAAGACUCUGCGCUUCCAGUGCAGUGAAUGCAGAUUUGAUCCCUGGUUGGGGAA
rnacentral:tRNA from 1 species